AGCGGGAGAGGGGCAGAAAGAAAAGGGGGUGGGGAAGAAUCAAACGUACGCAUCAAUUUGUACAGUCUUCAGCUGCACCCCGUUUUCUGCGCCGAUUUCAGGGGGAGCGGCUGGGAAAACAUUGCGUUAUUUGCGAAGCCGCAACAAUGUAAAUCUUUCCGUGCAUCGAGUUCCCUGUGUGUUUGAACGCGUGUCGGUCAAUGUACAGUACGAACGGCAGCAGGAGAGAAAGAAAGGGAGAUACGCAUCGCUGGAUAUUAUAGGUUUCAAAGAUUCAGUGCUAUGAUAGGCAGCCUGUAGGCCAACCAUCCCAUUUGUGGUCACGCUCCCGCUUUCUGUAAUGGCUGAGUGGAAGGAAUGGACCACAUAGAGAGCUAGUCAUGAAGACCCGAACCCACAAAGAAUCGAUGCCCGCUCGCAGUGGACGCAGGAGGGGGGGCAGCGAGGAAAGGAGGGGUAGACGUCCGCACCCCAGCCCGUCUCGAGCAGAGCGCAACGAAAGGCAAACACAGAGAACCGCUGGAGAGGAAUUGGCUGCUGGACGUUUCAACCGACGAUCUCAAGGCCAUGAUUCAUCAGAAAGUGAAGGGGAGGAGCAUGUGCUUCCGCCCAAAAGACAGAAAGUCCAGGACUCCUCCUCCAAUCCCCCAGCCCCACCUCUUUCAACUAACACUCCGACUUCUGCUCCACCUCCAACAACAAGCAAUAGUCAAUCAAGAGAAAGUGACAAUGAGGAUGGCCAAUCACAAGGCAGUCGGAGCUCAGUUGGAGGCAGCUUAGCCAAUAGUAGCAGCAGCAUAAGCAGUGGUCGGGACAUUGACCAGGACAAUCGAUCCUCUUCUCCGAGUCUUUCUGCUUCCCCCUUGGCAAGUUUGGAUUCUGAAUCUGACUCUCCAGAUUCCCCAAAGCAGGGUGAUAAAAACAAAGAUGGAGGGGCAUCAAAAUGUGUAGCAGAAGACCGGAGAGGCACAGGGAGGGGUGAGGAUGGCAGACCAGAGGACCAGAGGGACAGUGAGGUAGGAAUUGAGGGAGAUUUGUCUUCCUUGAAGUCCUCGUCAUCCCUCUAUACAUCUCAUUGUGGAAAGGUGGACAAUGCAAGUGAUACAAGUAGCAACAGGAAGUCAUACUUCCCUGUCGAUUCGAAACUUGCGAGCAAAAUUGAGUAUACAGGUCCUGGUGGUCCAGAAACCCUACACACCUCUAGUCGCAUCCCUUCAAAAGCAGGCCCGCAAUGUGGGAAACCUGGGGUGGGUGGAGCUGAGUAUUCCCAUGGGAAUUCAAAUGUGAGCCAUGCACCAACUCUCCCACCUCCACCUGCCCUGAAACCUCUAGAGGUGGGGCAGAAUGCUCCAGGUGGGGAAAAUAAAGUAGACAAACCAGAGAAAGGUGAUAAGUCUGUUCCACCCUCAUUGCUUCCACAAACUAGUGCCGUUACUCAACAACCUCCUCCUCCCAACACUCACCUUUACACCCCUACCAGCUGGUCAGGGGGACCUCCCUCUAGUUGUCCUGGCAACUGGGGAUAUGUACGUUACCAAGGUAACCACCAUGCACAUCCAAGCCAACAGCCCCCAGUGCAGCAACAGCUGCCCUCUGUGUACAAUACUCCUUCGUCCAACCGACACUCCUCCCACCCACCUUACCUAUCCCACCCUCAUCCCCACCCACACAAAGAGUAUCUGCCUAGGUAUGGUACUACGGCUGAACGGGAGAGAGGUGGCAGAGAGUUUGGCAACAGAGACUUCCCUGCUAGUAAUAGCACUGGCAAUGCAAACAGCAGCAGUGGUAGCAUCUGUGGUAGCACUUCUGGUGGUGGUGGACUCAACUCUAAUGUGGGUCGGGAUUUUGGGAACUCUUUACCAGGACAAAGCAGAGAAUAUGGAUCAAACCGGGAUGGACCUGCGGGACCAACGAGUGGUCGGGAAUAUGGACCAGGCUUUAGAGAUCGAGAGCGUGGAACUGGGAGGGAGUUUCCUUUGCAGAACCAGCAGCUUCAAGCACAAGGCCGGGAGUUUGGACCGGAAAGCACUGGAGGGGGAGGAUGCCAUCCAAGAGACAAAGACAGUAGGUGGGGAGAGUUAGCAGGCCAGGUUAGGGAGGCAGGGAGUAACAGUUAUCCUGCUAAUGCCAACCAACCGCCUGUAGGUGCCCCAUCAUCUGUUUUACCUUCAACGUCCCUGGUGACCCGUGACCCAGCCAGUUCACCUCAAAACAGCUCUGGUCAUCCUCCUUUCUCCUCUGCCAAUUCAAUCCCCCCAAGUAGAGACUAUCCCUCUCCUAUGGAUGCAAAUGUACAGCAGACACUGCAAGGACAUACUCCCCAAGCACCCUCCAAUGCUGCAGACCUUCCUCCACCUCCGCACUAUUUAAGAGAGUACCCUCCUCCAGGGACAAAGGAUCCCUACCCAUCCCCUGGAUCGAACGCUUCCUCUGUCCCACUUUCUGGUGUACCAAGGGAGUUUCCGAGCCCACCUGGAUUGGCCCCAAAUCUUACUCGGGAUUAUCCUGGAGGACCUCCUCACCACUCUCACUAUCCUGGCCAGACAGCGUUGCCUACACAGCAUAGAGACAGAGAGAGGGAAAAGGACAACACUACAUCUGCUCUCCAUUCAAAUCGAAGUCACCCUCCAUCCCUUUCUCCUUCAUCAAGUGGUUCUGGACAUGGGCAUCCCCCCUCUACUACUUAUCCCCCUCCACCUCCUCCACCCUCUACUAGUUCACAUGGUCAGCCCUCACCCAUAACAUCCCUUCCAGGCAGUCAUGCUCGACAGGGCCCAUAUUCUUCAUCUAAUCAGACUCCAUCAACCCCACUCUCACCUCUUCUCAGUCCCUCAGCAAAUCCGAUGGGAGGGUUUACUCCUUUUCCAUCAACUUCUACUCCUUCUGUACCACUUCCUGCAUCAGGUGUGUCCACCUCUUGUACAUCAAGUUGCAGACCUACUCCUUACCAUGGCACUUUAAGCAGUCAUCCUCCUUUCAGUAGCACUUACCAUGGCAACAGUAGCCAUGGAAAUGCCAGUGGCAAUGUUCCAAACAACAGCAACAGCACUAGCACUCCAUCACUAUUGCACUCCCCUCAAAACACUAAAAUACAACCUCAUCUCAGUAACCCCAGCCAUAACAACACUGCUUCAACCCCCAGCACAUCUGUUGGAGGAGAUGGUCACUCUGACUCAUCUUCUGGCCCAGUGCCACCACCUGUCAUCAAGGAGGAGCCAGUAGAGGAGAGGGAGGAGUUGGAGAGCCCACCUCCAGUUCUCAGAAGUCCUUCCCCAGAACCUAAACCUGUUGACAUUCCAAUCCAUGCCAGCCAAUCAGCUCGGUUCCACAGGGUUCUUGACCGGGGCAGUGGGAACUCUUGUGCCCGUAGUGAUGUUCUAUUUGUUCCACUUGAUGGUUCUAAGCUUUGGAAGAAGAGAAAUGAGGCAAUAGAACGCGCUCGCAGAGAGGUCGAACAGCGAGCGAGAGACCUACGAGAGAAAGAGCGAGAACGAGAGAGAGAAAAGGAGAGGGAGAGAGACCUGGACAGACAUCUGCAGCAGAAGGACAGUGGCGCAAGUGCAGGGUUAGGAGCUGCAGGCACACGCCAGGGCUCUUCACUCUUCUUUCCUUCCUCAUCCUCCAUCCUUCUAGACCCUUCAUCUUCCUCGUCCUCUGUGAACCCUUCACAUCCAGCAGUCCAUCCACAGCACCACCCUGCCCACCAUGCCUCACACCCCCACUCCAUUCACCCCUCUCAUCAUUUGCAUCCCUCUCUCUCUCACAGUAUUCCUCAUUCUCUUCUUCUCCCUUCCAUGGCAGGGGGCUCUCAAGUUAUUGGAGGCCCUCAGGGUGCUCUUGGCAUCGGGCUUGGGGGUCCAUACUUGGGCCCUGAUACCCCAGCCCUCAGAACCCUGAGUGAGUAUGCCCGUCCUCACGCCAUGUCUCCGUUGGGGGCUGUCAGCCGGGCACAGGCACACCAUCCCCACCUUCACCACCACCCUCACCCACAUGCGCAUACGCAUGCUCACGCUCACGCCCAUGCCCACGCUCAUCCCCAUGUGCACCCUUCAUUUUUCCUGUCCCAAUUCCAAAACCCAGCCCUCGCACACCCCCACCACCUUCCAGCCGACGCUGCCACGGCUGCAGCCAUCCUGGGCUUUUUGUAUGGGGGCGGGCUGGAGGGAGGCCCUGCCCACCCAGGGCAUGGUCCUGGGCCAGGGGGGUUGGCUGGGACGGGGCUUGGAGGAAUGGGAUUCCCUCAUGCUGUAGCAGCUCAAAGAGAGCGUGUGAAGCCAGGAUUUGAGUUUAAGAGCGAGGAGCGUGUCUACACAGCUGGAGCCUUAGCCGACCCGGCAAUAGCUUUGUCACACGCACAUUCGCACGCACACUCACACUCCUUGCUGCUAGGGGGUGGAGCUGGAGGUGGGCCUCCUGGUAGUGAGGUUGCCCUUUAUGGUACGACUCCACCUCCUGCGCCACCCCCUCAAGCUUUAGCUGCAGCAGCUAGGAAUCCAAAUCCCGUCCCUCCACCUCUGUCAGUCCCACCCAACUCUAUACUACCAGCCUCACUCCCCACCCACCAGGCUCCUGCCGUAGCCCCAGUGACGCCAGCAGCCCCCGCCCCUCCCCCUCAACCUCCUCCCCCGCCACCACCACCACCACCACCUCCUCCUCCAACAGCCUCAUCUCUUAAUCACCCCUCUCCACACUCUACCUUUCCAAAUACACACCCUUCCUGUCAGCCCCCAUCCCUCCCAACCCAGGCUCCGCCUUCAGAACGAUAUCCCACCCCGGUUCGCACUCCCCCCAGCACUGAACGUGCAAGGAGCGUGGAGAGAGAGAGAGCGAUACCCGCCGCAGAGAGGGAGCGAGAGAGGGACAGGGAAAGGACAGGGACAGGUGGAGGAGCAGCAGGAGGAGGCACGGCUCCUGCAGGAGGCACAGGAGGAGGAGAAUCUCUCGGCCGGCUACAGAUGCUGAACGUGACUCCUCAUCAUCACCAGCAUUCACACAUUCACUCUCACCUACAUCUGCACCAGCAGGACACAGGUGGCAGCCGCGGGAGGGGUACACCCCCUGAUGGAUCCGCUGGCAUCAGGGUCUCCCCUGGCCCGUCUGCCGUACCCAGGGGCUGCUCUUGGGCCUCCCAUUCUGGCACACUCCCUCACUGACAGCGAGGUGCUUCGACAGCAGCUCUUUGGUGGUCCUUUCCGUGAGAUGCCCCAGUCCUCGUCUCUGGGUGGGUCAAUGUCUGCAGCACACCAGCUCCAGGCAAUGCAGCAGGCUCAGAGUGCCGAGAUUCAGUUCCAGAGGCUCGCCCUGGAACAGCAGUGGAUCCACCACCACCAUCAUCACUCCCUUGCACAGGACGAGUACUACAGCCACCUGAAGAAAGAGAGUGACAAAACGCUGUGAGAAACACAGAGGACAUGAAGACAAGAAAAUGAAGAAGGGAUGAAGUGCAAAUAAAAAAUAAAUAAUACAAUCAUUUCAAAAUUUCAGCACUGAAAGACAACAAAUAUGGAUUCAAGUUUGGAUGUGACAUCAGAAGACAUAUCAUAAAUUCUGAACUAGUCUAAAUACAAUGUGUAUAUUCCAAAAAGGUGAGAUGUAUUACUCUGGCACACAGAUACUGUGGCACUGAAUGGAUAUUCCAGAACGUCCCGCCCGGAGGAUUCCUCGCUGUGUUGUUUCAUAACACCAGGCAGAGGCAUUUAGGCUGUGGUUCAGUCAAUGUAUACUACAUAAUGCCAGAGAGAAUGUGUAAAAAAUCAAGUUCACUUUUAUGUCUUUGCAUGUAGCUAGAUACAAAAAGCCCAAUGGGCUAAAAUUCUUGAUCUGUUUUUAUUUGUUUGUUUUUGGAAAACUACCACUCUGAAAGAGUGUUUAUGAAAGGGUGCAUGAGAUAAACAGCUUACCUUCAUAAUGUUUCUUUAUCGUGUUCUUAUUAAAAUUAUUAAUGUUGUUUGUUUGUUUGUUAAUAAUUAUACGAUUAUACAAACAUUAUUUUUUAUUAUUUUUUUACAUUUUCAUGGUACCGCUGUUUAUUUUUUAAUUUGUUGAUUUUACCUUGUGGGGCGGGGGAUGCAAGAUAAAAAAACAAUGAAAAGGAAAAAUCUGGAAAUAAAAUACCAUUUCUUUA